rnacentral:rRNA from 1 species
CCUACGGGAGGCUGCAGUGGGGAAUAUUGCGCAAUGGGCGAAACCCUGAUGCAGCGAAGCCGCGUGAGUGAAGAAGUAUUUCGGUAUGUAAAGCUCUAUCAGCAGGGAAGAGAAUGACGGUACCUGAGUAAGUAGCCCCGGCUAACUACGGGCCAGCAGCCGCGGUAAUACGUAGGGGGCAAGCGUUAUCCGGAUUUACUGGGUGUAAAGGGAGCGUAGACGGCGAAGAAAGUCUGAAGUGAAAGCCCGCGGCUCAACCGCGGAACUGCCUUGGAAACUUUUUUGCUGGAGUACCGGAGAGGUAAGCGGAAUUCCUAGUGUAGCGGUGAAAUGCGUAGAUAUUAGGAGGAACACCAGUGGCGAAGGCGGCUUACUGGACGGUAACUGACGUUGAGGCUCGAAAGCGUGGGGAGCAAACAGGAUUAGAUACCCCAGUAGUC